rnacentral:rRNA from 1 species
AUACGUAGGGGGCGAGCGUUGUCCGGAAUGAUUGGGCGUAAAGGGCGGGUAGGCGGCGCGGUAAGUCUGGAGUGAAAGUCCUGCUUUCAAGACGGGAAUUGCUUUGGAUACUGGGGGGCUUGAGUGCAGGAGAGGGUAUCGGAAUUCCCGGUGUAGCGGUGAAAUGCGUAGAGAUCGGGAGGAACACCAGUGGCGAAGGCGGGUAACUGGACUGCAACUGACGCUGAGGCGCGAAAGUGUGGGGAGCAAACAGGAUUAGAUACCCUGGUAGUCCACACUGUAAACGAUGAAUGCUAGGUGUAAGAGGUAUCGACCCCUUUUGUGCCGGAGUCAACACAAUAAGCAUUCCGCCUGGGGAGUACGGCCGCAAGGUUGGAACUCAAAGGAAUUGACGGGG